CCUUGACGACUAACACCCUGUUAGAUUAAUUGAUUUCAAUCUUCUUCUUUCUCCUUAGGUUUAAUUUCUGCAACAAAAGGAGGAAAAAGAAAUCGAAGCAUGAGGAACCUAUCUAGAGAGAGAACUAGAAUCAACUCAACGAAGGGGGAGAAGAAGCUCCGCCGCAUCCUCCAGAUGCUUCACGCCCUACCCCAAUACCAUUAAGGAGAAUGUUUGAAACGACGACUUCAUCAAACUGUAUUGCUAAUUAAUUCAUAGAAUGGAAUCCAUUAAACAGGAACUACACUAAACCUAAAACAUGGUCGGUUCUUCCCGUUAAUGGAAAUUUACUUAUUCAACUUCAACUUUAAUCUUUAACAAAAUCAGAUUCAGGCUUAUGCAGAACUACUCCAGUAAGAUGGUACAAGGAUACAAGCAUGGUUCUUUUUCAGUUCUAAGGAUGGUGUAAAUGUGAAAUUAACUGCACCACUACUCUAUUUAUUCAUUGAUUGAUUAUGUUCAUCCAGAAGUUGUGCUCAAGACUUUCUUCUGCACCGACAAAUUUAGAGGCUAAUAGGGGAGCAUAAGCCAUGUUCUCGAUGAUGAUAAAUUAACUAUGAGAACAGUGGUAGACACACAAUGGGAUUUUUAUGUUGAUGAGCGAAUGCAGGUUCCUAACUAUUAUUCAAUGGUGAUGUGAACGGAAAAAUGACGCUUGCUCAUGUGGCAAUUGCGCAAGGGAUUUCAGGUACUAAUCUCAUACUGAAUCUUACUUGAGAGGCACUUAAAUUAUUAUUUUAGUAAUUAUUAAAGAUGGGAUCGCUGGGAAGUAGCACUUAUGAUUGUUAGGUGGCCAAUGGGGAUGCGGAUUCUCUAUCUAGACUGCCAUAAAACAUUGUAAAUGAGAGAGAUGCAAGCCUUGCAUGGUGUAUGUUAAUAUUCCAAUUAGUAGAAAGUAGUAAUCUUCAGGAAUUGGAUCUCAAAGAGGGACAGGCUAAAUUGAUCCUAACGCGCCACCAUAAAUCCAUAUGUAUGGCUAUGGGAUUGAAAAAUAUGCGGGGUAAGAAUCUUUGCUUACUGAAAUUCUUCAAACCGUUAGAGUUUGGAAGAAAGCCCAUAUUAGCGGAAAAUGUAUAGGAGGCAUUGGUUCGAUUGACCAAAAAAGAAUGUGAUGCAGGGGUAUAUUCUGUUUUCUUUAGGGUGCAGGUUUUCUAUUUAGAUUGUGUUACUAGGAUGUAUCUGUAAAAGAGGGCAUUCUGUGAAGAUGCCUGAAGUCUCAGAGUUACAUCCGGUGCCUGAUGCUUAUGUACCUCUAAGCUGUAUUACUUUAUCCAAUUGAAUGGUCAACAAUUAUAUAUGUAGAACGGACAACAGAGUGAGUUGACACAGCUCAUUAGUAUCUUCAUCACAAAGUGAGCCUUACACUGCAUAACCAUUAGGGAAGAUAAUUAUCUUCAGUAAGUUGAGCACCGUGGACCGCUGAAUUGAAGUGUAUGGCCCGUAGCUACCGUUACAAAAAGUAAUGGUCUUUGCCUUAGGUUAUCCAUGAAUAUGUUCUUUUGUACAUUUCAAGAAAACCUAAAAUCUAUAACGUUCAACAGGAGAUAUAUUGUACUCUUUAACAUGUGUAUAUUUGAAAGGAUGGUGGCAUAAUCGUUGUAUAUGAUAGAGAUGUUACGAGGAACAUUUUGCGAUUUGUUCUUUAUUUGUGUUGUUUGGACUGUAUUCAUGUGGUUGUUGCUUGCUUUUACACAAAUUGGUAAAUCCUAGCAGUAAUAGCAUACUCAGCUCAGAGAAGAAUUGUUCUGAGGCUGCAUUUUAAUUAGACUACCCGUCCUUUAUACCCUUUUCAAGUUUUGAAGUCCCCUCAGUUAUCGAGGUUCUGACUAUUGUGUUAAUAUAGAAGGGUGUCUCAGAUAUAACCAGUCUACUUGAUUUUUUUCGUAAACUUAACUAACUAUACGUGUUAUCCAGAUAUAUCUCGCUAAUUAAAUUUGUCUCAGUAUGCCAACACGAAGAUACAGUCAGAAUACCUAGGGAACUCUGGGUUUCUGUAGAUCAAUGUGGACCUUUUCUCAUGAUGAGCUUGCUGCCGUCAGAUCCUGUUAAUGGAUGGAUAUAUGACUUUCAUAAGUGUGGUUUGAUAUACGUGAUUAGAAAGCUUCCGCUUCUAUUUGUUUAUGAUUUGAGACAUGUAUCGCGGUUUACAUAAACCAAAGUAGUCAAGAUCCUUUUUUACUGUACAAGCUACGCCAGAAAUUUAGGAGUCGGAGUUUAUAACAUUGAUUUAGGAGGCAAAGUAUAAUUACAAAGACGAUGCAGAGGAAUGGAAAAAUAAGAACUAUGGAAGCUCGAUGCAAAGGGGUUCUAUGGAGAACACAAUCUUUGGAUGGGCAAACCUACUGCAAUGUUCUACAGUACUGGGUCUCAAGGUGGUGGUCAGGAAAGAAUUGCGUAAGUCUCCCUAUGCUCUCUCUACCUAAGCACUAACAAAUUAUCCGCUUCACAUUACACCUGUUUUUCUAUUUUUCUAUUACUGCUACUACGGGUCUUCUCCCCAGUUGCGCAGAAGCCUUGGAUUCUUGCUUAUCUGUUUUUAUUUUUGAUAUUUAAGCAUCCUUUACAGGCUUUAUGUUUUCAGGAAAUGUAGGAGGAAAAAUUGUUCAUCUUAGGAGCACUGCAUUAGUUGAUAGUCGAUUUAACAAAAUUUGUAUGAAAGAUUCCACAAGUUUGUAUGAAUGUUCCAUAAAAAAACACGAGUUCGUUCAAGAUUUGAAAGAAGAAUUAAGGUGUUGGUGUCGACAAGUUAGGGUCUAAGAACUCUUAGAUGUCAGAUUGCUCUAGGAGAAAUGUGACAUGUAAGCUUUUGUUGGCAAAAUCCUUAGUUCUAUACCUUAUUCGGGUACAAAUGAUCAUUCUUUAGAGCCAUAACUUUGUAACUCCGGGCUCCAUUGUUUUAAUCAUUUGCUUAUCUCUGUUCAUGCAUUUAAUUGAUUGUCUUAUGUUCCAAAUGCUUUUGAUGCACCACCGUUAGUCAGUGAUAUAAAUCGGGCCAACUAUAAGAUUCCAUUUUGAGCAGAUUCAUAUCACGUAGCGCUUUCUUUAGUAUUUUCUGCCUAGGUGAGUGCCUCAGCAUGUCUCUGUUGAACAAGCAAUAAGAUCCUUGCGUGUAAGUUGUCUUUCUGAUCUGUUUUACUCAAAGCUCAAUGAUCAUUAAGAGUGACUUGAUCAUGAAAAGAGAGUACUCACCGAAAUGGUGUAAUGAAAUUAUAAUUGAUACUUCUAUACGUUUUUAGCCAGCACCUGAUACGUAUACCUCAGGUUAGCCAUGUGUAACUUCUUUUGUACAUCUCAAGCAUUUCUAAACAGCUAUAAUGUUCAACUGGAGCUAUAUCAUUGUAUUCUUCAUACACUUUGUAAUUUCGGCUAGCUUUCGACAAUUAUGUAGCAUCUAAUUAUUUGUAUUGCCGGAACUCACAUCCCUAAUAAGGAAGAAACAAUUUUUGUUGGCCUGAGGCGGCUCUUUGUUGUCUUUGAAAAUGUGUGGAAGCUGCUAUUCAUUGCAGCGUCUUUACACCGUGAGUUGUCUCUUGUAUCCACCACACCUCUCGAGGUCCAAAGCAAUUUUUGCUGACUGCUUCAACUUAUCUCUUCCCCAAAUAGGGACAAGUUUAGUAGGUGCAGCGAUCGCAAGAUUAAGGUUGACUUCAACAGGCCAUGGAGCCUUCAUAAAGCCCAAGAUUCUCUUUCAAGAUCCUAUGGAAGGGUUAUAUUCAGUGUUGAACCAGCAAUAAGAUCCUUGCAUGUAAGUUAUCUUUCUGAAGAUCGGGUAUGAAAUUAUAAUUGAUACUUUUUAAGGAAUUGAGGAGACGACCGUACGGAGGAGACUCCUCGAACCGAGCGCAAUGUUAAACCUCACAGAUGCACCGCUGCAAAGGGGGUGUUUUAGAUUCGAGAGAUCAAUCUGUAGCACUCCGGCCUAAAUCAAGACAAUGACCGUUUCAGAG